GAAAUGCGAUAAGUAAUGUGAAUUGCAGAAUUCAGUGAAUCAUCGAAUCUUUGAACGCACAUUGCGCCCGCCAGCACUCUGGCGGGCAUGCCUGUUUGAGUAUCAUGAAAUCUUCAAAGUAAAUCUUUUGUUAACUCAAUUGGUUUCUACUUUGGUAUUGGAGGUCUUUGCAGCUUCACACCUGCUCCUCUUUGUUCAUUAGCUGGAUCUCAGUGUUAUGCUUGGUUCCACUCGGCGUGAUAAGUUAUCUAUCGCUGAGGACACUGUAAAAGGUGGCCAAGGUAAAUGCAGAUGAACCGCUUCUAAUAGUCCAUUGACUUGGACAAUACUUUUAUGAUCUGAUCUCAAAUCAGGUAGGACUACCCGCUGAACUUAAGC
rnacentral:misc_RNA from 1 species